GGGAUGCAUCUCAUCAGGACCCAUAGACUUGAGGAUGUUCAGGUUCCUUAGGUGAUCAUGAACCUGAUCUUUGCUUACAGUGGGAGGGACGUUGCUUCCCCAAUACCCUCCUACCAAACCAAACACUUGAAGACUGUGUGAUGAGCAGUUAUCAGAGAAGACCGAGGCAAAAAAAAUUGUUAAGUACCUCUGCCUUCUCCUUGUCUGUUGUUUCCAUCCUGCCUGUGUCACCCACUGUGGGGAGGUACCCCCUCCUGGACUUUAUUUUUCUGGUUCAGGUUCCUGUAGAAGCCUUCCUUGUUCUUCUUGGCACUCCUUGCAAAGUUUAGUUCAAGCUGGGCCUUGGUUUUCCUGACCCCAUCCCUACACAGCCUAGCAGCUUCCUUACAGUCUUCCCGUGGUACCUGCCCCAGUUUCCACUGCCUGUGCAUUUUCUUCUUGCUUUUCAGUUUGACCAGCAAGUUCUGAUUCAGCCAUGCUGGUCUCUUGCCUUCCUUUCCUGACUUGCUACACCUGGGGAUGGAGACCUUUUGAGUGCUAAGGAAAGCUUCCUUAAAGAUCUGCAAACUCUGCUCUACACCCUUGCCCAUGAGGACAGUUUCUCAGGGUGUUUUGUUGACUAACUCCCUGAAGAGUUGGAAGUUAGCUUUCCUGAAAUUCAGCAUCCUAAUUUUACUCUUUGCCUGUCUCACAUCCCUCUGGAGCAUGAACUCAACCAUAGCACAUUCACUACAGCCCAAUCCUGAUGUCACCGAUCAGUUCAUUUGCAUUGGUGAGCAACAGAUCCAGUAUUGCAUCCCUGCUGGUGGGGCUGUCAACUACUCGAGUCAGGAAGUUAUCCUCAAUGCAUUCUAGGAGCUUUCUGGAUUGCCUACAGCUCGCUGUACUACUGUUCCAGCAGAUGCCUGGGUGGUUUACGUCCCCCAGUGGGACGACUGCUUGUGAUCAUGAUGCCUCCUGUAGCUGGAGGUAGAAGGCCUCAUCAACAGGCUCCACUUAAUCAGGUUGCCUGUAGUAGACACUGAUCACAAGGCUCCCUUUGCUGCCUCGGUCUCUAACUGUCACUCAUAGGCUUUCAACUUGCUCAUGACUAUUAUUUAGGGACUGCUCUUUGCAUUCUAUUCCUUUCCUGAUGUAGAUAGCCACACCUCCUCCCUUCCUUCCUCAUCUGUCCCUUCUGAACAGCUUGUAGCUGUCAAUAGCCACACUCCAGUCAUGAGAAUCAUCCCACCAGGUUUUGCUGAAGACAACUACAUUGUGGUUUUCUAGUAGCACAGUAGCUUCCAGCCUCCUGUUUGUCUUCCAAGAUGUGUGGAUUGGUGUAGAGACACUUCAGCUGGGCAGCUGGUCUUGUCACCUCCUUAAAGGAUAAAUCUUUAAUUCCUUUUAAAUAUUUCCCUUGAUUUUCCCCUUUGCCUUCUCCUAUUGCCCCAGCAGCCACUGCCUCAUCAUCACAGGUUUUCAUAUGUGUUGCAGUGUUGCCAGCACCUCUCAAGACAGCAGGUUCUUCAAAGCCCCUGCUAGCACCGUCCCUCAAAUCCAGCUAUGACAUUCCACACCUUGUCAUGGGAAGGCUUACUAUUCCCCCUUCAGACCUUGUUUAAAGCCCUCCCAAUGAGCCCCGCUAGCUUUUCCUCAAGGACACUUCCUUGAGAAAGGUGAACCCCAUCCAGUACCCACAAAGCUCGUGCCAUAUAGGCCAAUUUGUUGUCAAAAAAACAGCCACAAAGCUAGGUAUUUAAAGAUAAGAUCCUUUCAUUUGUUUACAUGUCCUUACCCAGUACAGGAGGCAGAGAAGAAAAGAUGAUCUGCAAUGUUACUUGCUGAUAUCCCCCAUACAAUUUAAUUUCUCCACAUACUGAACGCCUGUGAUUGCUCUUGCCUACAGAAGAAAACUAACCUUCCUUUCGCUGCCCAUGUAACCAAGUUGGAAUGGUCUGUAAGGUUUAAAUUGCAUAAAAAAUAACUAAACUGUUUCAUGGCCUACUUUUUGUAUGGACAAGAGUAAAAAAAAAACGUAAUUUAAAAUUGACCUGCUGUUCUUCAUAAAGGAUAUGAGAAACCAAAGUAUUUUGAACUUGAGAUUGUGGUGGAAAAUCAAAUGUAGAUGUCGAUGGAGAAGAGAGAGGUAUCAGCCCAGUCCCAUGCUGUCUCCUGAUGACUUUCUCCCAUUCUCCCUGCAUCUUCUGAAAGUUAUGCCAUUCAUUCUUCUUACCCUUUUCAAUGCAUUUGUCAGAUCCAGUGAAUUUUCUUGUUUAAGAAGUAUUUCUAUUUCUCUGUCUAAAUCAAACAUAAUUAAAACACCUUUUUGAAAGAUAUAUAUCAAAUGUACAGUUCUGCAGCAUCAGCUUCUGAAAACGGUGCAAAUCAUAUUGCUUUGUUUCUUACUCCUUUGUAGAGGGGAUAAAGUGUUCCCAAACAUACAACAGUGAAGUAAAAUUUUCUGAAGGAAAAAUUUCAGAUCUACAGCUACUGGCAGCCCAUAAAAGAAAAUUAAAUGAGUGCAGAAGUAUUCUCAAGGAUGAUGAGGGAUACUGUGCUGCAGAUCUAAGUGAAGAGUAAUCCACAGCAAAAGAAGACAUAAAAUAAAUGAGCUCUACGAAUGACAUUGGUUGGCCGCAGCCACCUGAAGACCUGCCCUCUCAUGCUUUCAGUCCAAACCAGACUUCAUGAAACUCAAUGGACAGAAGCUGGCUUCAAGGCUUUUGGUAAUAAAAAUUCAGAAUUGGCAUGGAAACUAUGAUUAGGAGGGCUUUGAAGAUUUUCUACAAUUACUAUUAAUUUAGUUUUGUGUACAUAAUAAUCACAAAAUAGUGUGCUGUUUUUUUCCUUGAGUGCCUCAAAUCUAAAAAAAAGUUGUUUUUAUAAUUCUUCAGGAAAUUGUAUUGCGUGUAUUUUGUACUUUGUUGUUUCUCCCUGUGGAAUUUGUCAUGGUGGAUACAAAUCUAUGGCCGAUACAAGCUUCUCUUCUAGAGAAGGCAAUAAAAAUGAGAUAAUAUUGCUGUUAAUA